rnacentral:lncRNA from 1 species
GUUAGAUUCAAGAAUAAAUACUAUCGAUUCACACAAUUACUUAUACUAAGCGUUCUGAUGCAUAAGCAUUACCGAAUAAAUCAAUCAUCCAAGUUUUUAAUAAUUAUACAUAUUGAAGAUAAAAUGAUAAAAAUGAAUAUACAACUUUGAAAUCCAAAAUCUCAAAUCUUUUUUCACCCAAGACCUCAAUAAGUUUCACAAUCAACCCAAAUUAAGAAUUUAGCUACUCAUCUCCAUUUAUAAAAACUUUGAAUAUUAAUAAAAAUAAAAUAAAUAAAAUAUUAUAAAACUUGCACAAUUUAGAUACUAUGACAAUAUACUACCAAUUUUAAGAGAAGAGAACUGUAACAAAUAAGUAAUACCUAAAGCAACUAAUAGAUACUCACAAGGCUCAUGAAUAGAGUAUAUAACCAAUAAUGCAAUGUAAAUAAAUUAAAAAUACAGAAUUAACAAAAAAUGACUAAAGCCAAAUUUAAUCCAGCUCAUGUAGUCUAAAAAUAUAAUGCAGUAAAUUAGCGAUAAAAUCGCUCUGUCGUGCGAGAGAAAAUCUCUACUAUGGUGUAAAGAUAAACUAAUAAACAUUAAGCGAUAAAUAUGAAAGAAACUAUUUAUAAACACGUACGUUAAAACCUUCUUGAUCUCCGAAAAUCUUAAGAAUUCUAAGAAACAACGAUUCUGCCACCCAAAACUACCUAAAUUACUCUUAUUUUUCUUUUAAAACAAAAACUACAACUACUCUUUUUUUCUCUUUUCUCCAUCUCCCAAAACAACCACCCCCCUUGAACUCUCCCUGAAUCCAAGAGAGAUGGGAGAGAGAAAGAGCAAGGUGAGGGAGAAACAAGUUUGGCCACUAUUGUUGACUUGUGGUGAAUGUCCUUUGGUUGUCAAAGAAAAUGGCGCCCUUUUGAAAUAAAUUAUUAGAGAGGGUUAAGCUGAAUCUCUUUACAAUGGUCACGAUUACCUCCUGAUUCGGUCGGUUGGCUAAUUUUUCCUCUUAAUGCUCUUUUUACUUUUAUUGCUCAUAUAACCACAAAACCCACACACCACACUACAAUCACUUCACAUAUGAACUUAAAAUAAACGAAAUUAAUGUUAAUUUAAGUUAACAAAGUGCGACUAUAAUGACAUUUUAUGUGGUAACACACCCAGACUAUGCAUUUUGCUAGUCCCUAGCAAAAAAACUUAUAAAAGAAUAAAAGGAUAAUCUACCACUUUCGUAUGAGGUCACGGAUACAUUUAGCUUUUGCACCAAGCCUUAAAAACCUUAGGUUAUCCCAUAGUGGGGAACGAGUGGUAUCUCGUGAGGUUUCCAGUUAUGCAACACAAAAAUCGACUCCUGUUUAUGUAAAAAAUAAUAUAGAUCCGAUGGUCACGAAAUAACUCCAUUUCAAAGAAAUCUCAACCCCCUAAAUAAUGAAUCAUGCAACGUAAGUUAAAGGCAUUAAAAACAUUGAAGCGAGGAAGGAAAGGGAGGAAAACACAUGUAGUGACACGAAAGAAAGAAACAAAAUAUACAAUGACCAGAUAACCUUACCAUCUCAACACAUGCAAUUGUAUCCUUUAUACUUCGGAUUCCAAGUUACAAGGCAGACACUCAACUUUGAAUAUGAACCACAGGGUAUAUCAUGGAAAGCUCAUUUUAGAGUGUAAUGAAAAGAUAUGCAAGUAGAGCAAUCCCGAACUCAAAAAUCGGUAAAUUAUAAGUGUGUCGAUCUGGGCAUAGUUUCAUAAAAAAAUAUUUACUGGUUAAGCCACAAUUAGAGGAAUUAACAUUGAUGAACUAUACGCACUGAAUGAAAGAUUCAUGUAAUUCGGAUAUUGUGGCCAUAUGGAUGGUGAAUGAAAGAAAGCCAUGUAAGAGGAAGAAAGCGAUAAUAGGUUCAAAAUAUGCAUGCACUAACACAUGAUGAUCAAUGAAAAUUUACUUUCAAACUUCUAUGAUCUUUUUUUAAUCUUUUUUUUAACUCAUUUCAUGCAUUUUGCUUCUUUCUUUAAUUUUUAAACUCCACUCUUUCAACUUAUACUUGCUACAAGUAAUGCAUCAACUCUGGGAAUUUAGCAUGACAAAUUAUAUAAUGAAUAUCGAGAAAGAAAGAAAAUAAGAAUGGAUCCAAGUAAAGAAUGGCUUGUAUUUUAUAAUCAGAAAAAUACAUUCAAAUCAAAACUUCAAGAGUAUAUAAGGUGUCAAUAACUCAAACUAAUACUCCAACAGUGUAACCCAAAAUCAAGCAUGAUGAGCUAUUCCAAUGAAUGAAAAUUAAUCCAAUGCCCUUGAAUAAAUGCUAAGUCACUCUAGAAAACAAAUUAUUAGGCUCUAAACUAUAAGGUAUAAAUCUCCACCUUAUAAGGAUACGCAUGCACGAGAGAUAGUAAGAUGUCAUAUAGAAUGCCAGUAUACAGCGAUGUUAGGAUCUAUCUUAUAAUGGAUUAUGACAAAACUUCCUGCAUUUUAGAUACAAAAAGUGAAAUCAAUUAUCAUUUAAACUUAGUUUAAGCAUGAGGCAAUGUAUUCCUCACAAUUAUUGCAAUGACAUGAAUAGAGCAGCUGGGUCCUGUAAGAUAAUCUCUAACACUCCCAAUCACAACAAUAACAUGAAAAAGUAUAUAGAAAAUGUAAGAAAUACAAACUCAAAGUAAUGAAACCAUAUGUACAUCAAACCUGUGCCGAAAACUUCCAAGUGUCCAUAAGAUAGAUUAAUCCUGGAUUAAUAUCUGAAAAUUACUCAAUAAAACAUAACAAGGUUUGAUAGAAUACUCAAUUUUAUUUUUUUUUAAUUUUUUUUAAAUUUUUUUAAAUUUAAAUUUUUUUUUUAUAAAAAAAUAUCAAAGAAAAAGAAAAACAACAAAUCAAACUGAAAGAUUACAAUUAUAAAAAUAUAAACCUACCAAAAAUUAAAGAAAAUUAUAAAAAAUGAUCUCGUAAUAUGCUCGUCCACCCCUCAACUUAAAGGUUGCAUUGUCCUCAAAGCAACAAUAUCAAGGUUAAGACCAGGGAUAGAAACCUGGGGAGGUUUAAACCAUGAUUGGUGGAUCAAUGAGAUCCACACAAUCAAUUAGCCACGGAAAGACUCAACAUAGGGCUUAACCUUGCACGUUGACUUUGCAAGUCAUAUCAUUUUUCGGAUUGUACUUAAAGUAGCACCAUGGGAGAAUUUCCCUGAUUUGAUAGGGGCCCUGACCAUUUACUUCUCAAUUUUCCCGUAAAAGAGAGUAACUGGGAAUUGUAAAGAAGAACCUUUUGACCAACAUGAACGUUACGUGAAUUGUUGGUCAUGACGAGCUUUCAUCUUAGCCUUUGAAAUUUUGGCGUUCUCAUACGCAUUCAUUGCUACGUAUUUCAUCGGUUCAUUCAAGGUAAAGUUACGGUGGUUGCCGGCCUUCACAAAAAUUCCUCAUUAUCUUGGUCGAAUUGCCCACUAUGCGUGUAUGUUCGAUCUCAAUAGGAGGUGAACAUACGCUUUCCCAUACACUAGGACGUACGGAGAGGCACAAGAAUGGUUUUGUGUAAACCAUUAUUCGAUUGGCCCACAAAGCAUCAAUUUAAGCGCAAAAACCAAUCUUUUCGAGGACGGAUUUAACGUCUUUUCUAAGAGCGUCUGAUUUCUCGAUUGGCUAAUUCAACUUAGCCUUGAGUUUGGGAUGGUAUGGUAAUCCAACCUGGAACAUGCCGUAUUUUCCAUGAGUACCCCUAUUGGUUAUUACAGAAGUGGGUAAAGCCACCAUCACUUAUGAUGGAUCGAGGCAUACAGAAUCGGGAGAAAAGAAUUUUUAAAAAAUUGACACAACCUGAUGGUCAUGGUCCGUGAAGGGAUAGACCUGCUACCUACUUGAAUACAUAAUCAAUGCCCACUGGAAGAUAGAGAUAACCAAAAGGAACUAGGAAAUGGUCCAAAAGUCGAUGCCCUAACAAGCAAAAAACUUACAAAAUAGAAUCGGAUAAGCGGGCAUCAUAUGUCUCCCUAGUAAGGCUCCUUAACUUUUGACUUAUCACAAGCCAAAUAAAAGGAAUGAACAUUCUUUUAAAACAAUGGUCGGCCAAUAGAGUCCACUUUUAAAGUUUGGCAUGUUUUCUUUGAUGAAAAUGGCCCCCCACAGGCUUGAGAAGGUUUUUUGUUUCUCUGUAACAAACUCGUAGUACGCUUGAGACUUCAUUCAUCAGGCACACAUCUAGAUCACAAUUGAUCGACCAAUAUAUUGAACAAAAUACGGCUUAUCCAAAAAGCAAUUGUCUGACUAGCCGAAAAGAAUCGCUUUUUGUCCAUUGAGGACCACUUGGAAGGUAUUGCUUUUAUAGACCAAAUAGUUGGCUACAUCGGCAUAUCACCGGUAUUAAAAGAUGAUUCCAGCAUUGGCAAGACUAUACUUUCUUCUCCGGACCGUCUCACGAUAGGAGCGUCAUCAUCUAUCGGAGGAUGCUCAUAAAGGAGGCGUGGAUAAUGAUCUGCAACAACGUUUUCACUCUCUUUGUCCGUCAUCUAGAAGAUUAAAAUUAGUGAAGAAGCUCUUUUGAACCCACUAAUCAAUAUAGGCUUUGCAUCUUGCUAGGUCAAGACGGUUACUUAUGACAGGUGUAGUAAGUCAACUAGUUUUGCUGUGUAAGAUGAGCAAUAGAGAUUUUUCUCAUUUCAACCUAGGAACGGCCCCUACAAGCGAAAUCACUCGCAUCACAAUAUUAAUUCAAAAAGUAGGCUCCAAUCCGGAGGUUGGAAUAGGGAGCCAGUAGUUUAAGUGAUUUUUUUACAUUAUCAAAUCAUAGUUGACACGACGGACGAAAACCAGUGUAUUCGAAUGGAGCGUCUUUUGCCAAGAGGGACACAGAGGACCUAGAAAUGGCAUAAAGGAUUGAAGAUGAAAUGCCAGUCAAAACCUGCAUUGACCAAGAAAUGACUAACCAUCCCUCACAUUCGAGGGCAGUAGCUUUUAGUGAGCUCUACCUUAGCAGUGGAUCUACUGAUGCCCUUCCAGAAAUGAUGUGGCCAAAAAUUAGAUCCUGUUGUCACCGUGAGAUGACAUUUAUCCAAAUUCAAAACAGAGAUUGAGCUUUGCAAUCUCUUAAGUACCAACCCAAGAUUUGUCAAGACAAGGUCCUAGGUGUCCUCAUACACGAAAAAUCAUCCAUAAAUACCUCCAAAAUUGUUCCACCAUAUCUUCUAAAAAUGCUAAUCAGAUAUCUCUGAAAUAGUGGCAGAAAGAAACAUUGAUAACCCAAAUGGCAUAAGUCCUCUGUAACCUCCUCGUGUUAAUGUGCAUCAAGUUCUAAGAGAAAUUGAGAUAAGAGGGACACUGUUAUGGCUUCAAGAGAGGUGGUAGAUUUAGUUUGAAUUAUUUGAAAGUCUCAUAAAAUCUCAGAAAUCGAACUUAAAUUGUUCUUUGGUUUGGCUACCGAUGGGGAAAUGGGCAUGAUGAAAAAUCUCAAGUCCUCCGUUAAGGAAGCUCCUCACUUUGGAGUUAGACUCACUCUGUUCUUUCCUCUUAUCAUUCACUUUUAAUUUCUUGUUCUCCUCCUUAUCGGCACUCCCCACUCUCUUUUCUUUUCCCCUAGUCUCUCUAUAAACCCCAACCGGACCCUCAAGCUUACUUUAGAGCCUCUCCCUACCAUUAGGAUCAUCAAGAGGAAGAAUCGUAUUGCCAAUAGUGCUUACCACUUCUGUAAAACAGUGAUGGCUUGAACUUGCUCGAUGGCCAGAAGAUGGUUGGUUCGAGAAAUCUCAAGUGGAAUGCACAGCCUAGAUGGGUUUGGUUGAGAUAUGGCAGGUAAACUUACCCUUCUCAGUAAGGGUCAAGGCUUUGUGUGAGAAGAGUCAAUGACUCUUAAUGUCAUCCAAUGUCUUAUCAACCCUGAAAUUACCCCCUCCUUGGGAUUGAGGCGAUGAUGGUUAGAGGGGAUCCUCCAACGCCUUUUUAUGUGGGGGUUGAAAUGUGUUGUGAUUAAGCUUGCUGGUGGAGGAGAUUGGCAAGUGUUGCUUUUGUGGUAACGUCGAGCCUGACUGUUACCACGGAUGAAAGUUUUAUGAUCCUUCUGGGUGUGCUGGUGGAGGGAAGGUUGCCUGAUAAGUUGAGGCUUAUGAAACCCUUCUUGAUAGGCUUUGGGGAAUGAGUCCCUCAUUGAGUCAUCUAAACUUUGGAUGCUCUCCCCCCCAGGUUAUAGGUAAUAUUGGAGUAUGGGUUUCGUGCCCUUGGACCAUAGUGACCAAGAGCAUGGGACUUGCACCAUGCAAGGCCUACCAUGAUCUGGAGAUGUUACACGUGCACGAUACGGUGUCGUGCUUUUGGCUCACAAGGCACAACACAUUCUUAGACUCUUCACUCCCCACUUGCAUUAAUCUUGUUGUAAACUCUAGGCUUCUAUUUUCUUGGCCAGCGUGGCAACGCCGUUAGCAUUCACAUCAUAAAGCCAGCUGUAAUUGCGUAUUUUCUUCCUUGUUGGUUAGGCCUAACCUUUCGGAAUUCUAGGUUCAUGGGAAUGGCCGAAUCUCGAGUAAAUUUGCCGAAUGGUAAUGAAAAUAGAGAAUAAGUUUCGUGAGGGUCCUUAUCCAGAAGUUUCCGCGCACAUGGUCUCAACAAAUUGUUUGAGUUGGGGGCGUAAGAGAGGCAAGAGAGGCAUAUAAGAUGUUGAUUCAGUUGUCAGUUUCAGCAAAGCCAUGGUUGUGGGCAAAGCAGUUAAAUGGCUCCUAAAACGCUUCCCAACAUUGAAAGAAGUUUUGUCGCCCGUGGACAUUGGAGAAAUUGUGAGAUUUGCGUCUUAAAGCUUCUGUUCUAUUUUCUAGAAAAAACUUUUUCAAAAAUUCCCCGUUUUGAAGAGUUUGCCAAGAGUGGAUUAGAAAGUGGUCGCAAAGAAUGAAUCAGUCUAGGACAGUAUCUUUUAAACAAAAAGAAAAAAGUUUGAAGAAAAAAAGAUUUUCUUGGACAAGGUAAUGUCAGCACUAAUGAGCUGCAUCUUCAAAAUUCCUUUAUGUUAAAAGGCAUUAAGGCUUAUGAAUCUACCCCAUGAAAUUGGAGGAAGCAUGGGAAUCUAUCUAGUCGUAAUGUUCAGGUAGCGUAGUGGGGUGAAAGAAAAACAAUGUGUGAACUCGGGUGCUGAGCGGGGGUUUCAGUAAUUCUCUCACUGUGGGAAUUGGGGAGCAUCCAAUGCCUCCAAGAUUGCUCCCGCCUUCACUCGUAUAACCCCUUAAGCCUUAAUAAGUAGUGUGGCGGAUUAGAGGAGGAUUGAGGCACAUCUACAAUUGGUGGGCUUAAGCAUUGCAUUGGAUUUUGUGGGGCAAAGAGGGGUACCCUCCUUUCUUCAUUUGGUCUUCCAUAGAAAAGGUAUAUGGGUCGACCACUAACGAGAUUCUGGGAGGUGCGUUAAAAAGUAAUGGGUGGGUCGACUCGUAAAGGGUCGAUUGUUAUUCGUGCCCACGGGGCAUACAUAUGCAAUGCGCAAAUAGUAUGCCUAAAUCCUAGUCAACACAUCAAACACAAUAUAUAUAUAUUUUUUUAAUUAUUUUUUUUAAAUUGAUCGGUCAAAACUCAAUAGUCAACAUUCGAUGGUCAAUAGUCAAAAUUUGUAUUUUUUAAAAAAAGUGUUUUUUAAUAUUCAGUCAAAAUUCAACAGUCAAAAUUCGGUGGUCAACAGUGCAAAAUUUGAAUUAUAUUAUAUAUUAUAUAAAUUAGAGAUAUAGAUAGUAUAUAUUUUUAGCGAUUUGCUCGUUCCUUCAACUCCCCGGCAAGGGCGCCAAUCUUAAUCUUUAGCCAAACGUUGCGGCUUGAGUAGACCCCACAAGAGGAAGGCGUGGCGGAGGGAGUAGUAUACCGCAGAGUACGAGUCAAUUCCAUAGGGAGGUGUGAGUAAAACUGAAUGGGAAAAUAGUUUUCCUUUCAAUGACUCACAAAGGAUGAACAAGAAUAUUCUAAAAAAUUAAAAAUAUAGAUUAUUUUUGGAAUUUGUUCGGUUUCUCAUAUUUUGACAAAUCAAAUGAAAUUAGCUUAAAUGGAAAUUGUUUGUAAAAUUAAUGUUGAAAUUAUCUCGGGGUGGUCGUUUCAACCGAUAUGUGUCUGAAAUUCAAAGGUGAGUGGUGUUUAUAAACUCAGACUCCUUCGACUACGUCGGAGUUAGGAUUCGAAAGAUUUAGCAAUAAACCCCUUUUUUUUUUUAAAAAACUUCAUUUCUAGAUGAGAUCGGGUGUUAGAUUCAAAACAUGAAUACCAUCGAUUCACCAAUACUUAUAAUAAGACUAGGUUAUGCAUAAGCGUUUUGACCGAAAAUAAUUAACAUCCAAGUUUUCAAUAAUUUAUACAAAUUGAAGAUAAAAACUGAUAAAAACGAAUAUACAACUUUUGAAAUCUAAAAUCUCACAUCCUUUUUCACCAAGACUUCAAUCAAUAUCACAAUAACCCAAGAUUUAAGGAAUUUAGCUACUCAUCUUAUUUAUGAAAACUUUAAAAUAUAUAAUAUAAAUGUAAAAAUAAAAAUAAAAAUAUAUAAAAAUUGGUAAGAACAAGUUAGACUAUGGAAUAUUAUAACCAUAAUCUAAGAGAAAAGAAAAGAAAGGAGUAACGCAAAGUAAGUAAUACCUAAAAGCAACAAGGUAAUAGAGUAAUAAAAGGCGGAGAAUCAGAGUAGUAACCAUAAUGUAAUGUAAUAAAUAAAAGUAAGGAGAACUUAAACAGAAAAAUGAGAAAGCAAAUUUAAACCCGCCAUUUAGACAAAAAAAUUAUAAGCAGUACAUUGUAAGCGAUAAACGUCCGUGCGUGGCGAUAGAAUCGUCUAUAGGGAGAGGUAAGAUAAGCGACGCAAAAUAGAAGCGAUAAAUAUGGAGAAAGAAACAUAAUUUGUAAAACACUUUACGUUUAAAAAACUCUUGAAAAUUCAAAAAUACCUUAAGAUUCUAGAAAACUUUCUCCCAAAAAAACUAACAAAUAAUUAGCUUCUGUUUCUUCUAAAACAGAAACACAACUACGUCUGUUUUUAUUUUCUUUCUCGAAAGCAUCACCCCCCUAGAACUCCCCCUCAUCCUCCUUUAUAGGAAAAAAGAGAGGGAAGAAAGAAUCCAAUGAGAGAGAUGGGAGAAAGAUCACGAGUGAGGAGAAUAGCAAAGAAAUAAAGUUGGCCACAUGGUGGACCUUUUGUAUGUGAAUGCUCUUUGGUUUGUCAAAAAAAUGGUUCCCCCCCCCCAUUUGAAUAAGUUGUUAGAAGUUUUAAGUGAAUCUUCUCAAAUAGGCACUGAUCAGCCUGUCGACCAGUCGUUUGCUGAUUUUCCUCUUUAAGAGUCUUUUUACAUAUUAGCUCAUAUAACCUACAAACACACACAAAAUAUAAUCAAACAAAUAUAGUUAACAACAUAAGGAAUUAAUACUAAUUGAAAUCUAACAAAGUCGAAUUAAGGACAUCUACAACACUUUUAAGAGGUGUAAUCAUGGUUAAUUUAAAGAAUGAAAACAGUAAUUUUUCUUUUUUUUUUGGUAAUUCAUAAGCUAAACUAUAAUUUAUUUUUCUAGUUAGUAGAUUUAUAUUCAUUUCAAAAGAAAUAUGUGGGUGUUUGAUAAAAGUAUUGGACAAAAUAUACUAAAAGCCAUUUUUUUAUGGAACUUAGUAUUAAUUUUAUUUAUUACUAAAAUUUAUUAUUCUAUUUUCAUGAGAAUCUAUGUGGUCAAUGUUGUAUCAUGAUGUUUAGGGAUGUAAGAAAAACCGAAGCCCGAAGCUUACCCGAAGCCUGCCCGCGGCCUGCCAAAAUCUGCUUGGGGGCCAAAGGCUCGUUUUAGGACAGAGCCGAAGCCUGCUUAAUUAUUAUGGGUUGGGCUUGGGCUUAGGUGUCCCAAACCCUCAGUCAGCCUGUCUACCCCCUCAAAAAAAAAAAAUGAAAGAAAGCAUUAAGUUAGUAGCCACACAUUUUCUCUCACACCCACAUUGUUCAAAAAAUUAAAAAUGGACCGAAGUCUACCCACCAAGCCUGAGCCCGAGUCCAAAGCCCGUCCAACCUAGGGCCUUGGAAUUUUUUAAUUUUGGCGGCUUGGCCUGACU